CCGGAGCAGGGGGCCGUCCCCGGGGCGCUGCCUGGAGAGGACCGGGGAAGAGAGUUUUUCGUCCUAAGCCGUUGUCGACGGCAGCUCGGUGCUCGGCAGAGACUUGUCAGAACGAGGGCUGCGCGCUGUACUGACGCUGUUCCUCCCGUUUAGUGUUACGCAGACGAAUGGGAUCGCCCCAAGUUCCAGAUUGAGUCGAUUUUUUCCACAUUCGAACAAGCUUCAGCGGAUGCACCUCGUGGCUCAGCGGUGGGGGCCCCAGCGCUGAGGGUGCCUGUCCUCCGCCGCGGCCAUGUUUAGUUCCUAAUUUUGACUGAUAUGAUUCUGUGAGAUUUGAAGGCUUCCGUGCCCAGCGCCUCUGUCGGAAUAACGCUUUGGGGAACUAGUUGGGACACGCUGCCUGUUAAUGAGAACCACGCCAGUGCUGAAAGCUCUAGCAGUGCAUGUGUGUGCUCUUGCCAUGCAGCUCUGGUAUCCCCAUGAUCUGAAGUCUGAAAGCCACUGGCGUUUCUUUUUUUAUUAUUUUUCCACAAAAAUCCCACUAAAGAUUUUAAAACUGUAGAAGAUCUGACCAAUAACAUUAAGUCUUCUGAAGGAUCCAAGAAAGUCAAAUCUUCAUCAAGUUUUUCCGUAUCGAGAACAUGUUGCAGUGUCUCACAGACCCUGCAGACCCAGAUCAGCUCUCCAAAGCUGUGCAACAGUGCUGGGUGGUUCUGGAUGCGCAGACCCCGCAGUUCUCCUGCAGCACAGACUUGGACAAAUUAUUCUUCAGCUAUUGCAUGUCUCCUAUGAAUUGCAAGGGAAAUGGCCCAAGAAGCAGCUUCCCUACUUCAGACAUCUACAUCCAUGCUGAAGAGACAAGGAGGCAGACAGUGAAAACCAAGAAGAAAAGGUUUGUGGCACUCAGGGGAUGUGGGAUCAGAGGAAGGCUGAUGCUUCAUCCUGGAAGUCUCACUAUUUCUAUGGAACAUAUAAUUCAUCUUUCCUAAUGGAUGACCAAUUUGACCACUAGCUGUAACAAAGCCCUUUUCUUCUGGAGAACUGAAUCCACUACUUAAGCCCUACUGUAGUGAGUUGAAUCAGAAUAGCUGGAUUUUCAGGGGCCUAGCAAUAAAGUUGCUUGAAUGAGGGUGCCUGAUGAAAUCAAUAAGUUACCUUUACAGAGGAAUGCGAGUGUGGAUGAAUGCGGGUGGACCCACAUGAAACUUACUGAAGUUCUUCCACAGUAGAAAUCACACAAGGACUGGUCAACACAAAAACGUAAAUAACAGUAAAACUGUUCAACAAGCUUUUUCAUCAAAGAGGAAUUGAGUCAUUAAACAUUUAUUUUAUUUUAUUUUACAAAAUGAAGCAGUGGUUUCAUUCUUUGCUGAUUACAGUUUGAUAUCUGCUUUUUCUUUAUUCACUCAGGCUUUUGUUUAAUUAUAUGGAUAUUCUCUUAAAAAUACAGUAGAAUAAAAACACAAGAAAAAAAUGAAGAAUGUAUCUGCUGCGGCUAUAUAUAAUAGCUAUAUUUCCUUUUUUUUUUUUCUCAAAAUAAGUACUGACUCCAUAUUGAACAUAAUAUAAAUUUGAAGCACAGAAGUAGUGAAGUCUGUUAUUAACAAAACAGCAUUGGUUUUAAAGGUAAAACAUAGGCUAAGCUAAGGAAAGAUUAUACAAACAUUGUAGGACAAAAUUUGUCAUGGGCUUUUCCAUGUAACUCAAAUCUCAAGAAAAAUAGUUAUGAAGGGCAUUUUAUAAUAGUAAGUUUACACCUCCAAAGCAGAUGGAGGGAGCCUUCUGUAUCUCCAGAUACACUAAAUAUAAUAAACAUCAUCUCUAAGAAACGUAAUAGGAAGUUAAUGUUUAAUGAGAGAUAAAGAAUACAGCAUCAUUCUGAUUAUUCUCAGAAUUACCCAAAAUUGGGAAACCAUUCUGGCAACUGCAAAUCUUUAAGUAUUAGCAUAGCUUAAAGAGAAUAAGGCAACAAUUAAUGGAUGGAGAUAAUUUUCUGCAUUAGCAACAUCAAAGCAAAAAGCAGUGUCUACAAUUUAAGAAGUCAUAUAGAAACAUCAGUUAAAUUUUUUAAUUAAGCAAUAUCUAAUGAAUAUUCAAAACAAAACAGUGACAAAAAUGUUCUUCAGAGCAUAAAUGUCACACUUGUAAAAAGGCCAGUUUUAAGUGAGAUUAGUGUUUUACUUUAGAAAAUGUCUUUUAUCAUUGUAAGUCUACUGAAAUAAAUUAGUAUAAACCAAGCUAAGCUAAUGUUUUGCUGUUAUACAUUUGUUAAAAAAUAUGAUCUGUACUAUUUUACUUAGCCUACGAUGUAGAAAAAAAUCAGCCAAACAUCAUAGUCCUCUAUAUUCACAUAAAGACUAAAUGCAUUAGAGUCAUGCAUCAUCCCUAAAUGAGGAUUUUCAGGAGCUUGGCUUCUUUUUGGGAUUGUGAAGAGUGUUUUUUAGAUAUGUUUUUGAACUUUUACCUGCAGGAAAACCUAAUUAUUAUGGAACCUUAAUAAUGUUUUAAUACAUUAAUUUUAAACUAUAUGCUGUAGGAGAAAAGCCGAGCACAUCCUCACCUGUCUUGUUAUUGUUUCUGCAGUAAAAGCCUAAGUAGCCAGUUUGGCCAAGGAGUACAUCUGUGACUGAAUAUUUGGUGGGCUUUGGAACAUGUGUGUGUGAGUUUAUGGAUAUGUCUUAUUUCAUGGUCCACAUUAGUAGAAAAUCAUUCAACUUCUACAGAAGAUCUAGGCCCUUAUCUGAAGAGAUAACUCAUUGUAACUUCAAAUACAAACAUCAGUAAGGAUAUGUCAGAUGCUUCUAUUGUUGUGUGCACAAACUAAUUAAAUCAUGACAUAUAUUAAAAAUUUUAUUUUUCUUGGAGCAUUGUCAUCAAUA